UACGUAGGGUGCGAGCGUUGUUCGGAAUUACUGGGCGUAAAGCGCGCGUAGGCGGCUUUGUAAGUUAGAGGUGAAAGCCCGGAGCUCAACUCCGGAACUGCCUUUAAAACUGCAUCGCUUGAAUCCAGGAGAGGUGAGUGGAAUUCCGAGUGUAGAGGUGAAAUUCGUAGAUAUUCGGAAGAACACCAGUGGCGAAGGCGGCUCACUGGACUGGUAUUGACGCUGAGGUGCGAAAGCGUGGGGAGCAAACAGG
rnacentral:rRNA from 1 species